AUUGAACGCUGGCGGCAUGCCUUACACAUGCAAGUCGAACGGCAGCAUGGAAGAGCUUGCUCUUCUGAUGGCGAGUGGCGAACGGGUGAGUAAAGCAUCGGAACGUACCGUGUAAUGGGGGAUAACGUAGCGAAAGUUACGCUAAUACCGCAUACGACCUGAGGGUGAAAGCAGGGGAUCGCAAGACCUUGCGUUAUACGAGCGGCCGAUGUCAGAUUAGCUAGUUGGUAGGGUAAAGGCCUACCAAGGCGACGAUCUGUAGCGGGUCUGAGAGGAUGAUCCGCCACACUGGGACUGAGACACGGCCCAGACUCCUACGGGAGGCAGCAGUGGGGAAUUUUGGACAAUGGGGGCAACCCUGAUCCAGCCAUGCCGCGUGAGUGAAGAAGGCCUUCGGGUUGUAAAGCUCUUUCGGCCGGGAAGAAAUCGCACAGGCUAAUACUCUGUGUGGAUGACGGUACCGGCAUAAGAAGCACCGGCUAACUACGUGCCAGCCGCCGCAGUAA
rnacentral:rRNA from 1 species